AGAGGAGCUUGCUCUUCUUGGAUGAGUUGCGAACGGGUGAGUAACGCGUAGGUAACCUGCCUUGUAGCGGGGGAUAACUAUUGGAAACGAUAGCUAAUACCGCAUAACAAUGGAUGACACAUGUCAUUUAUUUGAAAGGGGCAAUUGUUCCACUACAAGAUGGACCUGCGUUGUAUUAGCUAGUAGGUGAGGUAAUGGCUCACCUAGGCGACGAUACAUAGCCGACCUGAGAGGGUGAUCGGCCACACUGGGACUGAGACACGGCCCAGACUCCUACGGGAGGCAGCAGUAGGGAAUCUUCGGCAAUGGGGGCAACCCUGACCGAGCAACGCCGCGUGAGUGAAGAAGGUUUUCGGAUCGUAAAGCUCUGUUGUAAGUCAAGAACGGGUGUGAGAGUGGAAAGUUCACACUGUGACGGUAGCUUACCAGAAAGGGACGGCUAACUACGUGCCAGCAGCCGCGGUAAUACGUAGGUCCCGAGCGUUGUCCGGAUUUAUUGGGCGUAAAGCGAGCGCAGGCGGUUUGAUAAGUCUGAAGUUAAAGGCUGUGGCUCAACCAUAGUUCGCUUUGGAAACUGUCAAACUUGAGUGCAGAAGGGGAGAGUGGAAUUCCAUGUGUAGCGGUGAAAUGCGUAGAUAUAUGGAGGAACACCGGUGGCGAAAGCGGCUCUCUGGUCUGUAACUGACGCUGAGGCUCGAAAGCGUGGGGAGCGAACAGGAUUAGAUACCCUGGUAGUCCACGCCGUAAACGAUGAGUGCUAGGUGUUGGAUCCUUUCCGGGAUUCAGUGCCGCAGCUAACGCAUUAAGCACUCCGCCUGGGGAGUACGACCGCAAGGUUGAAACUCAAAGGAAUUGACGGGGGCCCGCACAAGCGGUGGAGCAUGUGGUUUAAUUCGAAGCAACGCGAAGAACCUUACCAGGUCUUGACAUCCCGAUGCUAUUUCUAGAGAUAGAAAGUUACUUCGGUACAUCGGUGACAGGUGGUGCAUGGUUGUCGUCAGCUCGUGUCGUGAGAUGUUGGGUUAAGUCCCGCAACGAGCGCAACCCCUAUUGUUAGUUGCCAUCAUUCAGUUGGGCACUCUAGCGAGACUGCCGGUAAUAAACCGGAGGAAGGUGGGGAUGACGUCAAAUCAUCAUGCCCCUUAUGACCUGGGCUACACACGUGCUACAAUGGUUGGUACAACGAGUUGCGAGUCGGUGACGGCGAGCUAAUCUCUUAAAGCCAAUCUCAGUUCGGAUUGUAGGCUGCAACUCGCCUACAUGAAGUCGGAAUCGCUAGUAAUCGCGGAUCAGCACGCCGCGGUGAAUACGUUCCCGGGCCUUGUACACACCGCCCGUCACACCACGAGAGUUUGUAACACCCGAAGUCGGUGAGGU
rnacentral:rRNA from 1 species